rnacentral:rRNA from 1 species
UACGUAGGAUGCAAGCGUUGUCCGGAAUCAUUGGGCGUAAAGAGCGCGCAGGCGGUAUGACAAGUCAGAUGUGAAAGAGGCCGGCUUAACCGGCAAGGGUCAUUUGAAACUGUCAGACUAGAGUGCGGCAGAGGAUAGUGGAAUUCCCGGUGUAGUGGUGAAAUGCGUAGAUAUCGGGAGGAACACCAGUGGCGAAGGCGACUAUCUGGGCUGCAACUGACGCUGAGGCGCGAAGGCUAGGGUAGCAAACAGG